CCUACGGGAGGCAGCAGUGAGGAAUAUUGGUCAAUGGGCGCGAGCCUGAACCAGCCAAGUAGCGUGAAGGAUGACUGCCCUACGGGUUGUAAACUUCUUUUAUAAAGGAAUAAAGUGAGGCACGUGUGCCUCUUUGUAUGUACUUUAUGAAUAAGGAUCGGCUAACUCCGUGCCAGCAGCCUCGGUAAUACGGAGGAUCCGAGCGUUAUCCGGAUUUAUUGGGUUUAAAGGGAGCGGAGAUGGGUUGUUAAGUCAGUUGUGAAAGUUUGCGGCUCAACCGUAAAAUUGCAAUUGAUACUGGCUGCCUUGAGUACAGUCUAGGUAGGCGGAAUUCGUGGUGUAGCGGUGAAAUGCUUAGAUAUCACGAAGAACUCCGAUUGCGAAGGCAGCUGACUAAACUGCCACUGACAUUGAUGCUCGAAAGUGUGGGUAUCAAACAGGAUUAGAUACCCGGGUAGUC
rnacentral:rRNA from 1 species